CUCCUCCAAAAAACAAAACCCAUCAACUUCACCUGGUUAUUACCUCAUGUUUAUUUAUUUUUAAAUAUAGUUUAAUAUUGUACACAUUGUUUUAGCCAGAUGCCCCCAUAGACAUGAUUUACAUGUUGUUUAAAAAACAUGUCAAAGACAAACUGGAUAAAAAUAAGCUUAAUCAAGUAAAUCAGUCACGUACCCAAAUUGUGGAGAGAAAGUUGGCAAAUCAGUCACGCACCCAAAUUGUGGAGAGAAAGUUGGCAAAUCAGUCACGCACCCAAAUUGUGGAGAGAAAGUUGGCAAAUCAGUCACGCACCCAAAUUGUGGAGAGAAAGUUGGGUUGGGUAUGGGGGGCUGUAUCCAACAAGCUAUGAUGGACAAGAGCACCUUCAGUGUACUAUGUUAUCUUACUGGAACAGCUCAGAUGUAUUUGCUCCUGUAAUGAAUACCUUUUUGUUUUCCCCGUGUUCCCUUUGAUACAAUGUUAGAAACUCCAUGUGAGGAUAGCAGUCUUGCUACGUAUACAAAUCCAUGUGUUGCGGUUCUUUUAGGUGUGUUCCUCUAAAAAAAUAAGGAUAUUGAAGUGUUUUGUUUCCCCUCUAUCACUGGUUUUCAUGUUUGUAUGACCAUGCUGUCUUUUGAUACAGGGAUAUUUCUGCUCUGAGCUUUGAGUCUGCUUGUUAUGAGCGGUAAUUACCUCUACUUUAUUUUGUGUGUAUAUAUCAUUAGAAUGUUCUUUAUAGGAGCAAAACAGAAAUAAAAGAGCCCACAUGAGUAGCUAAUGGAGUAUUUAUGCCUUUUCCACAAAUGUCUUCCCUACCUACACAUGUCAAUGUUCAGGCCCCUUUAAGUGUCUAACAAUUAACAGAAAUGUAGUAUUUUUAAAGCUAAUCCACCAAACCUAAACUAGAAUACUUUUGUUUUCAUCAGCAUUUGUGCAGCUUUUAGGCUGGAAUCCCAACUUGAUUUGUGCGCAAAACUUGACUAACACAGAUUUCAAGUUAGGAUUUGGCCCAUAUAUGAUACAUUUAGUUCAAAUCAAAUAAGCAAAAGACAACAACAAAAAACAUCCUUUUGUGUGCUUUUUUUACUGACACUAACUGAUGUUUUCCCCCACAAUUAUGUUUCCUGUGGUGGCUGAGAGCGAGACAGUCCAGCACCUUCUCCAGCCUGGGCUCCACUUUCAGAGAGACAAGACCUCCACCAAGCCACUUAUCAAGGUCAUUUUUUAUGGCAUGUGUAGAUCCAAAAAGCAAACAACACUGGGCUGAUAGAAAAGUCAAGAUGGGGAAUUACUUUCACUUACUAUUUUCUUGAAGUAAUUACUUUUUAAAUUUAUAAUAUAAAUAUAUAUAGUAUUUAAAAUAAAUAAAGUACAUUUACUUUUUUCUUCUUAUCAUAGACACUCAUAAACAUACCUUAAGUUUGGUUCCAAAAGUUUGUGCUCACAAGACUUUUAAGGCCUUGUAUUUUUUACAGAUGACAGACUCUUUCUGGUUAACAAAGUAUCAUUCCCAGCUGCUCAUAUACCUGACUGCGAAUGUUUGGUUAAUCAUAUGGCUCUAAACUGGUUCCAGAUUGCCACAAGCAAGGCUUCAGGUAGCUUGUCUUGUAACUGUGUCAAAGUUUAGCCAAGAUACUUGUUAAUUUGUUCUCUAUAUAUUCUAGGUGCUGCCACUUUAGAGAAGAAAAGCACAAGGAACCUCAUCUGGACAAAGGGUAAGUCAGAACUGUCUUGGUUUCAUCAAAAUCUCCUUUUUCUGCUUUGGUGCCCAUGUAAGACUCAAGACCAAAGAGAUGUUCAACGAUGGGCCCUGUGGAUAUUUCUCAGAACAUUAUAAAACAGAAAUAUGUUUUUAAAUGUAUGUAACACAUUUGUCCAUAUCCUUCACUUUAUUCAUGUGAUCCAACCUGAAUAAUUGGACACCACUUUUUCCAAUAUGAUAUAAAACAUAAAUAUGUAUAUUUUGUCCGCUGUUGAGAACAUAACUUGUACUCAUUUUCAUGUGUCUAUAAAUAUAAUAAACAUGUCUGUGAAAAGUA